rnacentral:rRNA from 1 species
UACGGGGGGGGCAAGCGUUGUUCGGAAUUACUGGGCGUAAAGGGCUCGUAGGCGGCCAACUAAGUCAGACGCGAAAUCCCUCGGCUUAACCGGGGAACUGCCUCUGAUACUGGAUGGCUUGAGAUUGGGAGAGGGAUGCGGAAUUCCAGGUGUAGCGGUGAAAUGCGUAGAUAUCUGGAGGAACACCGGUGGCGAAGGCGGCAUCCUGGACCAACACUGACGCUGAGGAGCGAAAGCCAGGGGAGCGAACGGG